rnacentral:rRNA from 1 species
UCGUCAGCUCGUGUCGUGAGAUGUGGGUUAAGUCCCGCAACGAGCGCAACCCUUAUGACUAGUUGCCAGCAUUCAGUUGGGCACUCUAGUGAGACUGCCGGUGACAAACCGGAGGAAGGUGGGGACGACGUCAAAUCAUCAUGCCCCUUAUGACCUGGGCUACACACGUGCUACAAUGGAUGGUACAACGAGUCGCGAAACCGCGAGGUUUAGCUAAUCUCUUAAAACCAUUCUCAGUUCGGACUGUAGGCUGCAACUCGCCUACACGAAGUCGGAAUCGCUAGUAAUCGCGGAUCAGCAUGCCGCGGUGAAUACGUUCCCGGGCCUUGUACACACCGCCCGUCACACCAUGAGAGUU